rnacentral:rRNA from 1 species
CCUACGGGAGGCAGCAGUGAGGAAUAUUGGUCAAUGGGCGUAAGCCUGAACCAGCCAAGUCGCGUGAGGGAUGAAGGUUCUAUGGAUCGUAAACCUCUUUUAUAAGGGAAUAAAGUGUGGGACGUGUCCUGUUUUGUAUGUACCUUAUGAAUAAGGAUCGGCUAACUCCGUGCCAGCAGCCGCGGUAAUACGGAGGAUCCGAGCGUUAUCCGGAUUUAUUGGGUUUAACGGGUGCGUAGGCGGCCUUUUAAGUCAGCGGUGAAAGUCUGUGGCUCAACCAUAGAAUUGCCGUUGAAACUGGGAGGCUUGAGUAUGUUUGAGGCAGGCGGAAGGCGUGGUGUAGCGGUGAAAUGCUUAGAUAUCACGCAGAACCCCGAUUGCGAAGGCAGCCUGCCAAGCCAUGACCGACGCUGAUGCACGAAAGCGUGGGGAUCAAACAGGAUUAGAUACCCCAGUAGUC